rnacentral:tRNA from 1 species
GGAUAUGUAGCAAAAGGUUUUGCGUUUUGAUUGCAGAUCGAAAAUUUGGGGUUCAAUUCCUCCGUAUCCC